UACAGAGGUCCCAAGCGUUGUUCGGAUUCACUGGGCGUAAAGGGUGCGUAGGUGGUGAGGUAAGUCGGAUGUGAAAGCUCCGAGCUCAACUCGGAAAUGGCAUUGGAAACUACCUUGCUAGAGGGUUUGAGGGGGGACUGGAAUACUUGGUGUAGCAGUGAAAUGCGUAGAUAUCAAGUGGAACACCAGUGGCGAAGGCGAGUCCCUGGAAAACUCCUGACACUGAGGCACGAAAGCUAGGGGAGCAAACAGG
rnacentral:rRNA from 1 species